AUGUGGCACAACACCAGCAAUACCCUGUCGGUGAUGGUCAAUGGCCGGCGGAUGGGCAGCAAAAAGGUUCUGGUGCUGCACACCAACAAGAACUUCGACCAACAGAGGACCAACUGGGUGAUGCACCAGUACCACCUCGGGGACCUGGAGCAAGAGAAGGAGCUGGAGCUAGUCCUUUGCAAGAUUUUCUACCAUACGAACACUAGGGCCAGGAGUCGAGCAAGUUUCAACUGGGCUGUAGACUGCCCAGGCAUGGUUUUUUUUAACAGGCCCAGCCCAUGA
rnacentral:rRNA from 1 species